AAAUACGCACAGAAAAAAUACACAAAUCAAAAUGGGCUGCUCCUGCAAUAAUUUACAUUACAAAGUAGGCUGCUCCUGCUGUCAGUUUUAUUAUGAAUCGUAUGCAGAUGAAGAGGGGCAGUUCUAAGCUCAUGAAAAAAGUCACCAGUUUCAACAACGCAUCCUUGAGCUCCUGGUUCCUCACGCUACAGAUGACGGGGUUCGAUGCUGGAGGCACCACCGAGUGCAGAACUGCCAGUGCCAGGUCCAGGGAUGUGGAGGAGGUGCAGGGAGCUUCAGGUUGGCAAACAGGGCAGCGCUGACAAACAGGGAGACCGCAGCCAGACCAUGACAGCAAUGGAAGUCACGCCUUGGUGCACAACUGCCACAUCUCCAGAGCAGGCCAGGAGAUGUGCAGUGUCUUUCAGGUCUGGCUGUUUACCAGAGGGGGGCAACUGAG
rnacentral:lncRNA from 1 species